GAUGAACGCUGACAGAAUGCUUAACACAUGCAAGUCGAUUCGAUUUACCUUCGGGUAUUGAGGAUGGCGGACGGGUGAGUAACGCGUAAGGAACUUGCCUCUUGGUCUGGGACAACUGUUGGAAACGACAGCUAAUACCGGAUAUUAUGAGAUUCUCGCAUGGGAAACUUAUGAAAGCUAUAUGCGCCAAGAGAGAGCCUUGCGUUCCAUUAGCUAGUUGGUGGGGUAACGGCCCACCAAGGCGACGAUGGAUAGCCGGCCUGAGAGGGUGAACGGCCACAAGGGGACUGAGACACGGCCCUUACUCCUACGGGAGGCAGCAGUGGGGAAUAUUGGNNNNNGGGCGNNNAGCNNNNNNCAGCAAUUCUGUGUGCACGAUGAAGGUCUUCGGAUUGUAAAGUGCUUUCAGUUGGGAAGAAGAAAGUGACGGUACCAACAGAAGAAGCGACGGCUAAAUACGUGCCAGCAGCCGCGGUAAUACGUAUGUCGCAAGCGUUAUCCGGAUUUAUUGGGCGUAAAGCGCGUCUAGGCGGAAAAAUAAGUCUGAUGUUAAAAUGCGGGGCUCAACUCCGUAUUGCGUUGGAAACUGUUUUUCUAGAGUACUGGAGAGGUGGGCGGAACUACAAGUGUAGANGUGAAAUUCGUAGAUAUUUGUAGGAAUGCCNAUGGAGAAGUCAGCUCACUGGACAGA
rnacentral:rRNA from 1 species